rfam:Microgenomates (Gottesmanbacteria) bacterium GW2011_GWA2_47_9 TY16_C0065, whole genome shotgun sequence.
CGUGGGAGGUACCGGGCUUAACGGAUAAAAGCUACCCCGGGGAUAACAGGCUGAUCGCUUCCGAGAGUCCAUAUCGACGAGGCGGUUUGGCACCUCGAUAAACCCAUUUCUGGGUUAUGUCGCCUCAAUAAGCAAUUAUUGAGUGAAUAAUUUAGCUCAUAUCGGUGAAACCCCAUCUGGCCACUGAACCGGCCAAAGGGCAAUACCGAGGGAAGGCCGCCAAUUAUUAGAAUUUCUAAUGAAGGCGUGCCCCCGUAACGACUGAUCCCCGCCAUUGGCGGGGUGAGAUAGAUGACAUGUCUAUCACACGCUAAGCUCCCGAUAAACGUAUCGGGAUGAUGGUAUAGUCUAUGCCACGAGGAAUCGUGGAGAUACAUGGUCGGCUCAUCCUAUCCUGGGGCUGGAGAAAACAUUUAUCUUCUCUCCCCGCCAGAAAUGGUGGGGUAAUAAACAAGCUCAAAACGGAGGAGGCCAUAUAUUUGCAGGUCCCAGAUUUUCUGGUAUACUGAUUUCUAUAUGGUUGGUUCCGUAGGAAAAAGAUAUUCUAAAGCUGAUCGAGCAUACAUUGCAGGUCUCUUUGAUUGCGACGGUGCCAUCAUGGCAUCGAUAGAACCACACAAAGAGAAAAAAUACAGAUUUCGGGUUCGGGUAAUUCUUAAAUUUACCCAAAAGCAUCCAAAUCUGCCGCAAUGGCUACAAUCUUUCUAUGACGUUGGAAUUAUCAGACGCAAUCGGACAACAUACGAUUGGGUUGUGAGAGACCAAGGCCACUGUAAAGAGCUUUUGGAGUUGAUGCAGGCGUUUUCGAGAGGGAAGGCAAAACAAAUUCAGUUUGCAUUACAAAUUCUCAAUACUUCGAUUACGUCAAGAUCAGAUCUUCAAAAGGUUGCUUAUUUAGCCGAUGCUUUGAGUACGCUGAAUGUUCGAUCGCUAGGCAGGCGAAAGAAUUAUGCAUCAAAGAUCGAAGAAUAUUUUUCCUCUAACGACUGAUUCUGGUUCUGCCAAGAUCCAGAAGAGAUAGCGCAUUUUGUCGCUAUAAUACGGCUUGUACCUGACGGUCAAUUGGUGACAAUUGACACAAGGUAAUGGAAUAGUCUUACCCCGCAAGUAAUUGUGGAAGGUUAGAGGUCCCAAGGGUCCGGCUGUUCGCCGGUUAAAAGGGUACGCGAGCUGGGUUCAGAACGUCGUGAGACAGUAGACCGAUAGUAAUUUGACAAUUACUAUCAAAGAGCUGUCUUUCCUUCUGCGUUUUGAACUUAUGAGGAAAAGAAGGAAACCUAUAAAGGUUAAAUCUGACUAUAUGCUGGAAACUCCGAGUAUCCUGUGCUACGCUUAGAGCGUGAAAAUGCAGCAGGUGCGGACAAUCAGCAGGAAAUGGUUAUUUCUUUUUUUGAUAUUUAUAUCGCUGGUGAUACUAGUAUUAUUACAUCGAUUAAGUAACUUGUAUAAACAUAUUUUACAACCAGUUACUUGUAGUGGUUAUAGUACAGGUACGAAUGGGGAGUAUCGUUAUUGGAAGUAUACUCGAAGUAGAUUUGUAUGUUGGACGUUUUCAUGGGUAAGCGAUAGAUAUAAAGAAGAGCAGAAAUAGCUAGAUCCUCAGAGACUAUAUGUCAGACCCGCCGAUGAGGCGAGGAAGAUAUAGUCCGAACUGCAUGGCGACAUGCAGAGUACAGCAGAAAUGUUGUACCCGUAUAUAAAAUACGCGUAACAUAUUGUCGGUCUCUAUCCAGUGCAAGCGUUCGAUUCUUGAGGGGAGCUCUCCCUAGUACGAGAGGACCGGGAGGGACAGAUCCCUGGUGUGUCUGUUGUCGGCAAACCGGCAUCGCAGAGUAGCUAGAUCUGGUCGGGAUAAGUGCUGAAAGCAUCUCAAGCACCAAGCCCACCCCAAGAUGAUGAAUCGUAGACCCCCCGCAGAAUACGGGGUUGAUAGGCGAGAAGUGUACGUGCCGUAAGGCAUUUAGCUUACUCGUACUAAUCGGUCGAUGUUGUAGAGAA